CUCCAGGGUCAGUUCUUCAGGGAAGAGAUUCUUGAACUCCCCUCCCUCCUCCUGUCCCAGGUUGAGCUAGAGCUCUCCUCUCUGGAUCACCGUUUCAUAGUCUUAAGUACUUGGGACUUUGAUUUCUUCUAGUCUGCAUACCCUCGAUGUUAGGGACUGCUCUGUUCAGCUUGAUGACAUCAGACGCUAGUACAAUGCCAAGCAGAGAAGAGGGACAGAAGAAAUGGAAGAGUCGGAGGUUGAGGAGAAAACGAAAGCAGCAGUGUCCUCCAACAUGGCAGGACCUCGGCACUCAUGAACUGUCUCACGGCAGCUGUGACGAUCUGCGCAAGGCCUGCACGAGAUCAAGCCGUUCAACAUUUCAGCCUGAGAGGCUGGGGCUGAGGAGCUCCUCUCGAGUUGAGGAACUAUUGACAAUUGAUGGCUUAACAGCUGUUGCCUGAAGGAGACUGAGGUGAGACCAGGAACCCAUCUCUGGGAAGUGAGGAAGCAUCAGGAAAUGGAAUUGUGGGAAGUGAAGCUCUGAGCCUCUCUCAUCGUCCA